GUGGUCCCAGUACCGACCCCUGCGGGACC
rnacentral:sRNA from 1 species